AGCUCCGGUGGCCUAGUAGUUAGAGCGUCCACCUCGGAUGCAGAAGAUCGCGGGUUCGAUCCCCAGCCGAGUUA